rnacentral:rRNA from 1 species
GUUGCACGCUAGCUACAGGCUUAACACAUGCAAGUCGAGCGACCGGCGCACGGGUGUGUAACACGUAUCCAACCUGCCCUUUACUCGGUGAUUCCCUUUCGAAAGAACGAUUAAUACCCGAUUGAAAGGCUCGGGAUGCGUUACAUUAGGUUGUUGGUGAGCUAACGGCGAACCAAGCCUUCGAUGGCGAGUGGUUCGGAGAGCAAGGCACCCCACAUUGGAGCGGAGACACGGUCCAAAAUCAUAGGGGAGGCAGCAGAGAGGAAUAAUGGUCGAGGGGCGGUAGCGUAGACCAGCCGAGUGGCGUGAAGGAUGAAGGCGUAUGGGUCGAAAACUACUUUUAUAGAAGGAUAUGUAUUAGAUGAAUAAGGAGCGGCUAACGCCGUGACAGCAGCCGCGGUAAUUC